CGCCUUGCCAGCCCGCUCAGAAACUUAAAGGAAGUUGACGGGGGCCCGCACAAGCGGUGGAGUAUGUGGUUUAAUUCGAUGCAACGCGAAGAACCUUACCUGGUCUUGACAUCCCGGAGACCCUUAGGAAACUAGGGGGUGCUUCCAUCUGGAAGAAUCUGGAGACAGGUGCUGCAUGGCUGUCGUCAGCUCGUGUCGUGAGAUGUUGGGUUAAGUCCCGCAACGAGCGCAACCCUUGCCUUUAGUUGCCAGCAGUUCGGCUGGGCACUCUAAAGGGACUGCCGGUGUUAAACCGGAGGAAGGUGGGGAUGACGUCAAGUCCUCAUGGCCUUUAUGACCAGGGCUACACACGUACUACAAUGGCCGAUACAAAGGGCAGCGACACUGCGAGGUGAAGCCAAUCCCGUAAAAUCGGUCUCAGUCCGGAUUGGAGUCUGCAACUCGACUCCAUGAAGUUGGAAUCGCUAGUAAUCGUGGAUCAGCAUGCCACGGUGAAUACGUUCCCGGGCCUU
rnacentral:rRNA from 1 species